rnacentral:rRNA from 1 species
UACGUAGGGGGCGAGCGUUGUCCGGAUUCAUUGGGCGUAAAGCGCUUAAGGCGGUUCGCUAAGUCGGGUGUGAAACCUCCAGGCUCAACCUGGAGACGCCACUCGAUACUGGCGUGACUAGAGUCCGGUAGGGGACCACGGAAUUCCCGGUGUAGCGGUGAAAUGCGCAGACUAUACAGGAGGAACACCGGUGGCGAAGGCGGGUCUCUGGGCCGUAACUGGACGCUGGAGGAGCGAAAGCGUGGGGAGCGAACAGG